CUGAACCACCAAGUGAAAGGAACUUAUGGGUUCAAUUUUAUGUGAGAUACAUAUUCUUACUAGUUAUUUGGAUCAAGUACUUAACACAAGGAAUUUGCUGGCAAUAUAAAACACAUUAGUCUGAGAAAAAAGUUCCAUACACUACUUGUAUCUCUAACUAUGAGACUCUGCUUAAUUGGAUCUUGUGUUCUUACUUGAAAGUAAGAAGUAGCACUAGAUAACUUGGUAAAAAACUUCUUUCAGUCUUGUAGCUCAGCAAAAAUAUUUGACAAGCUUUUGAUAAAACUAGAGAUACUUAAUUUUCAUCUAGACCUUUGGGAACAAGAUGAUCCAUCUAGAAAUUAAUCCAUUCAUUUACAUAUUGUUUUGAGUUCUUAUUUUUCCCCUCAUUUUUUUAAAUUUUCCUUUUUUAUUCUGCAGAUUAUUCUGAUGCCUAACCAACAUUGAGAACCUCUUCCAUAAGUAUCUUCUAACUCCUAAAUGGAUUAGUGCCCAACUGGGCAUUUGUGUCCAUCAGAGUCUCCUAGCCACAUGGUUCAUCUCAAGAAAAUAAGUGCUAAACUUAGGAAGAACCUAGAGCAACUACCUAAGGACUGCUGGGACAAUGAGAUGCUAAUGUGUUAUUGGAUCAAAUAGUGAAAGCAUCUUGAUGCUGUAAAAGCUGUACAAAUAUUAUUUCAAAUAAUCGACUACUUAUUUCAGGGCCAAAGACUCCAGAGGCUACCCUUCCCUCUGAGCCUUAUACUUGUCCCCCAAAAUAGUAUACAGGAGAGAAAAUGUGGCAAGAAAUCUGUUUCUCUGGAAAGUCAAGAGAAAUGAGUGAUCCAAGAUGAGAAAAGGGACAGGCAGCGAAAGACAAGGAAGCAACUGGAAAAAUAGCAUAUCUGAUGGUCUCCAAGAUAUAUGAAUCUUUAGAUGGCCAGUAAAAGAGCUCUGAUACGGAAAGAUUUCACUCUGGACUGCUUUCCUCUAAAAGAAUUCUGAGCUACUUUCUGGAAAAAUUAUGACUAACAGAUUAAUUCAGCAGCAAAUUGACUGCAGAUAUCUGAAGAGAAGAAGCUCUGGCUUUUGAAAGGUGAUUAAAGUUCAAGGUGAAGGGCAGGAGGUUUUUAAAAAAAUAAACUUAAUGACAGUUCCAGGUGUCACAUGCUGGAUAAGGGCCAGGCUUGGAAUGAGACUUCCUGUUUAAAAUGGUCUUGGGACUAGGACUGAAUCAUAACACUGGCUUCCCUGGUUCUCCAGCUUGCAAUGCAUAGUUGUGGGACUUCUCAACCUUCAA